AACUGUUCUAACAGUGCGCGCCCAUUGUGUCUGUGCCUCUGUAGCAGCCCUGUCUUCGCAGCUUUGACGGCCUGACUUGGGAGUGACAGAACGACCGACUGUCACCAUCGUAAGUAGAUGAUUAGACAAAAGACAUCACGUUGAUUGAUAACACGGAGUGAAAUACUGCUAUCUGAAGUUAUUUUCUAUAAUUAAGUUCUAAAGUUAUUUUCUAUACUUAAAUCCCUAUUUGAUCUUAAACUACUUACAAGUGAAAUCAGGUAUAUGAAAUGUUUCGUGUAUACAAGCCUUAAUCUAAUAGAUUUUCUUGAAUUAGUGCGUAUUACUACAGUGCAAGUACUUUGCAAGCCGCAGAGCGUAUAACCUAUGUUUUCCUAAAGCUAAACCGAAACGGUGAGACAGCAUAAAUUAUGUAACAGCCUAAAAUUAUAAAAGAAUAUCCUUACAGCUACUAGGAACACAAAUACCACUCAAGACCCUCCGGAUUACACUAGGGGAAACUAAACGUAAGUUGAAGCUCUAACUAAAUGAAAUACGCUAUGCGACUUAUAUUACGAAACAUACACUUACAUCUGUUAUUAUACUACAAAGUUAUAUGCUUAAUUACCAAUCAACCUUAAAUUGUAAACCUUAAAUUCUACCCUUCUUCCUCUCAUCCUCAUUAUGAUGCAGGAUUUUAUUAAUCUCCUAAAUAAAGAGCCGUAGAUUAUACAUUGCUCUGGAGGUUAAUUUUACGGAAAGAAAAACCCCUUCAGUCUGGGUGACUUGUUGAAACGAACUUCGACAAAUUAAUAAAAUCGUUUAUACGAAAGAUGUCUGGUCGUAAAAGUGGGAAAGAUGGCAAAAGCGGUUCAAAGGGCGCACGGUCAAAAGAAAAGCAGUCAGAAGUGAUCGAUGUCAGUGGUGGUGGUAAUAUAGUGGUGGUGGUCACGGACGAAGAAAAGGAUCUGGCAGGAGCUAAAAAGGAUGAUCAAGUCGCGGAACAGAGCUGUACGUUCUGCCAGGAGGAGGACAAUAACGACAUGGUUCAGUGCGACAAGUGUGAUAGAUGGAUCCAUUUUGCGUGUGUCGGCGUUACAGAGGAAAUCGCGGAUAGGAGCUGGAGUUGUCCCAAAUGCGUUGCUGCAACCGGGGUCCAGCAGUCUUCUUCUUCUACUACAAAUCGCCCUCCAGCUGGAUCGUCAACUCGCGCUGAACAACAGAAGUCAGCACCUUCCAAGCAGUUUAUCCCCAAACGUACACCUGGAACCGGCGGACACGAGCGCUGCAAUACGGUAUCGGAGCCGGCGGAAAAACUGAUUCCUACCUACGGGGUCGCUCGUCGUGGUAAAUCAACCGCUUCGCAGGCAUCUUCGUCAUCGCGUAGAUCCAUCCUACAAUUACAGCUACAGCGGCUCGAGGAAGAACAGGAAUAUGAAAAGCUACAAGCAGAGAAGCAUCGUGCAUAUCUGGACAGGAAGUACGAUUUACUGGAGCAGAUGCACAGUCGAACCGGAUCUGAGUGCAGUGGAUCCGAAGACCGUGUUAGACAGUGGGUUCAAGAUACCAACAACAUCCGCGUAGAGAAUGCAUUGGAUCCCCAGAGUGUAGAAGUCUUUGAUCCGCAGAGACAUUCGACACAGAACUACUCCGGAAGAGCUCAAAUUGGUUCUUCUCCAUUGGUGGACCGAUCCGGUAGAAACCAGAACCGAAUUGAAGCAGUACUUGAGCGUUGUGAUCUUCGUCGGGAACCUCGCGUCCAACCUUCAUCGAUUGGUAGGAGUUUUAUGGAACCGUAUGAACCACGAAGUCAGCAGCCAAGAAGGAAUUUCCGAGAAGCAGAUUUCCACUCUGGAAACCAUGAAGAAGAUUUCGAGCCCUGUUCGUUUUCCCGUCAGCAGUUGGCAGCUCGUCAAGGAAUUUCUAAAGACUUACCCAAGUUUUCCGGAAAGUUCGAGGAAUGGCCGGUGUUUAUGUCAAUGUUUAACAGCACUACGAACAUGUGCGGUUUUACGAAUGAGGAGAACCUUAUCCGGCUCCAGAAGUCAUUGGAAGGAAAGGCGUAUGAAACGGCGCGGAGCCUACUGAUGCAUCCGUCGAACGUUCCGGCGAUUAUGCGUACUCUGAAAAUGAGAUUUGGCCAACCUGAAGCCGUUGUUCACUCCCUGAUUCAGAAGGUGAAUGCCCUACCAGCGAUUCGGGAAGAUCGCCUGGAGACGUUAGUGGAGUUCGCAGUUAACGUUCAAAAUUUCUGCGCCACGGUAGACGCGUACGAACUUGAGGAUUAUAUGUACAAUGUGUCUCUUCUACACCAGCUGGUGAACAAGCUCCCGGCCACGUUGAAACUAGAUUGGGCCAGGCAUCGGCAAAACGUUCAGCGGGUCAACUUGGCGACCUUUGGGAAUUGGGUAUAUUCAUUGGCCGAGGCAGCUAGCACCGUCGUCUUUCCGGUCGAUUCAGACGAGUCGAAGCCAACACGCAACGAUGGACGUGGUAACAAGAAGCCGAACGCAUAUGUAAACGCUCACUCUGAGACUGUCUCCGAAUCCAGUCGUCACCCAAAAACCGUUGACUCCGAUGGAGAACAGAGAGAACACAGUCGUGUACCUGUCUCAAAACCACCGGCCCUUGUUUCAGAGGUGUGUGCGGUGUGUAAAGGAGAAUGCAAAAACGCCUCAAAGUGCAAGCAGUUUCUGGAGCUGUCCCGUGAAUGUAGAUGGGCCAUUGUAAGAGAAUUCAAACUCUGCCGAAGUUGUCUACGUCGCCAUAAAGGAGGAUGCGACGCAAAACCGUGCGGGCGAAAUGGAUGCAUCUACAAACAUCACGAGCUGCUCCAUAGGGACCAGAACAUUCAACAACGCUCUGACCAAAUCAUACAAGAGUCAUCUACGUCCCGAGCACAGGUCUCCAUGCAACCAGAAUCUGCGACCCAAAUACCAACGCACGAUUGCAAUACGCAUCAAGCGAAGUCAAAUGCAGUCCUAUUCCGCUACCUACCCGUGGUACUCAGUGGACCUCAAGGUUCCAUCCAUACAUACGCGUUCCUGGAUGAGGGAUCGCAUCUAAGUUUGAUAGAUCAAGAACUGGCGGACCAGCUCAAAUUAAAAGGUGCAACGAUACCGCUGUGUCUUCGCUGGACAGGAGGAACCCAGCGAUGCGAAAAUGAUUCGCAAUCGGUUACCUUGGAGAUCUCAGGAACGAGCAAGGCGGCAAAGAACUUUCAACUAACCGGAGUGAGAACAGUCGACCACUUGUUGCUUCCAUAUCAGACACUAAACGUGGAAGAAAUGGGCCAUCAAUACCCACAUCUUAAGGGACUUCCCAUCGAUUCCUAUUACGACGUCCGACCAAGGAUCCUCAUCGGAAUGAAGCACGUGCAAGUCAGCCUUGUAUUGAAGAGCAAAGAAGGAAAUAUUGGGGAACCAGUAGCUGUUAAGACACGGUUAGGCUGGACAGUAUGCGGUGGAGAAAACACGGAAGGCGACGACGUAGGGAACCUAGUCCACUAUACUUUUCACGUGUGUUCGUGUGAUCGGGCAAGAGAUGACGAGCUACAUCAGACGGUGAAGAAGCACUUUGCUCUAGAAAGCCUCGGCAUCACAAAACCGGACAAACUUCUUAUCUCCACCGAAGACCAACGGGCUCAAGAUCUCUUGAAGCAACUGACUGUCUACGAUGGGGAGCGUUACACGACCGGACUGCUGUGGCGUCACAACAACGUCCGUCUACCAGACAACUACAAUAUGGCUCUGCGAAGACACCAGUGUUUGCAAAGACGUCUCUCCAAGGACCCAGAACUAGCAGAGAUGCUGCAUGGAAUGAUUGCGGACUACGUCGCCAAAGGAUAUGCCCGAAUGCUUUCGGAAGACGAACUAAACCGACGGUUUUCAAAGGUGUGGUACCUUCCAGUUUUUCCGGUUAUAAACCCGAACAAGCCAGGCAAGGUGAGGCUAGUUUGGGACUGUGCAGCUUGCUCCUUUGGCGUCUCGUUGAAUUCAGUCUUACUAAAGGGACCCGAUCAACUUUGUUCGCUGUUGUGUAUAUUGCUGCAAUUUCGAGAAAACAGAGUGGGCCUUACAGGGGACAUACGUGAAAUGUUCCACCAGAUACGAAUCCAGGAUGCAGAUCAACAAUGCCAACGCUUCCUGUGGUGGAACGAAAAGGGGGAAAUCGUGAUCUAUGUGAUGCAAGUCAUGACGUUCGGAGCCUGUUGCUCCCCUAGCUGUGCGCAAUAUAUUAAAAAUAUCAAUGCGGAGCGCCAUGCUGAAGACUAUCCAAAGGCUUCUGAAGUGAUCCAGAAGAAACACUACGUGGAUGAUAUGCUCGUCAGCCUAAAAUCCGAAGAAGAUGCUAUAACAACGGCGAGAGAGGUGAAAUACGUCCAUCAGCAAGGAGGGUUUGAGAUCCGCAAUUGGGUCAGUAACUCACCAGCAGUUCUGGAGGCUCUCAAUGAAAAGGGAUUAAGCGAGAAAGACCUAGAUUUAUCCCCAGAAAUCAGCACCGAGAAAGUCUUGGGUAUGUGGUGGUGCACUGCUUCAGAUACAUUCACCUACAAGAUUGGAUGGAAGCGAUACGACUGCGCUCUCAUGGAGGGCCACAGGCGUCCUACAAAGCGGGAAGUUCUACGAGUGCUAAUGUCAAUUUUCGACCCUCUUGGCCUCAUCGCUCACUUUCUUAUGUUCCUGAAAGUGUUGCUGCAGGAAGUGUGGCGCUCUGGCGUGCAAUGGGACGAGGAGAUAACCAAUGACGCAUUUACAAAAUGGCAGCGCUGGUUGAAGUUGUUGCCGCAAGUAGAGCAAGUUCGAAUCCCCAGAUGCUAUAGCUCACUAAUCCAGAACCCUGAAGAUGAAGCAGAGCUCCACAUUUUCGCUGAUGCCAGUGAAGGCGGAAUGUCCGCUGUCGCCUAUCUACGGUUUGUCAAGCGCCAGACCAUCGAGUGUAGGAUCGUUGCAGCAAAGACUAGGGUAGCACCUUUGAAGUUCGUGUCCAUUCCCCGACUGGAGCUACAGGCUGCUGUAGUUGGUGCUAGGCUAGCUCACACGAUUGCGGACGCCCUGUCUUUGAAAAUAUCCAGGAAGUAUUAUUGGACCGACUCUCGCGAUGUACUUUGUUGGCUGAAUGCGGACCAUCGUCGAUACACGCAGUUUGUUGCAUUCCGUGUCAGUGAAAUUUUGGAGACUACCGAGGCAAAUGAGUGGCGCUGGGUACCAUCUAAAAUGAAUGUUGCAGACGACGGUACCAAGUGGGGCUCCCGGCCCGACCUUACACCCGAUAGCAGAUGGUUCGUAGGCCCAGAAUUCCUAAGGCUACAAGAGACGGACUGGCCCCAGCAACCUACGGAAAACCGCUCUACAGAGGAGGAACUUCGUCCCAGUUUCCUUGCCUGUCACGUUCCCUGUGAACCACUUGUGAAUCCAAGAGAUUUUUCUGGCUGGAAGCGUAUGCUAAAUGCCACUGCCUUCGUCAUCCGAUUCCCGACUAACUGUCGCCGCAAAAUCUUCAGAAAGCCAACUAUCAGUGGGCCCGCAACGAAGGAUGAACUAGUUUCUGCUGAAGCUUACCUUCUGCGCUCAGCUCAACGCGAUGGGUAUCCAGAAGAGAUUGCCAUCUUGGAGAAAUCACAGCAUACCCCCAGUAACUCUAGAACAAUACCGAAGCAGAGCAGCGUGUAUCAGUUAACGCCAUGGUUAGAUAGCAGAGGAUUGAUGCGAAUGCGGACAAGGAUUGCAGCCUGCCAAUACGCCACGGAAGAUGCAAAGAAACCAAUCAUCCUACCACGUGACCACCCAACCACAAGCUUAAUAAUUGCGUACUACCACCAAAAAUUCCAUCAUCAGAAUCAUGAAGCAGUGGUCAACGAGCUCCGACAGAAAUUCUACAUUCCACGCAUCCGUGCUGCCUAUGCCAAGGUAAAGAAGAACUGCCAAAGAUGUAAAAACGACCAUGCAAAUCCACGACCACCAAUUAUGGCCGAUCUUCCGACAGCACGGCUUGCAGCGUACUCGCCACCCUUUACACAUACAGGGAUUGAUUUCUUCGGGCCGUACGAAGUAACCGUUGGUAGACGCACUGAAAAACGUUGGGGAAUGCUCGCAACGUGUUUGACAAUCCGGGCAAUCCAUCUCGAACUGGUUCCUUCUUUAACCACAGACUCCUGCAUAAUGGCUAUCAGAAAUUUCAUGGCACGCCGUGGUACGCCCAGUGUAAUAUAUAGCGAUAGAGGAACCAACUUCAUUGGGGCAUCCCGACAGAUGAAAGAGGCCGCCGCAGCAGUUAACGUGGACGACAUAAUGAAGGAGUUCACUUCUGUCGAUACAACCUGGUCGUUUAACCCACCCCUUGCGCCACACAUGGGAGGCAGCUGGGAGCGACUAAUAGGAAGUGUAAAACGAAACCUACAGAAGAUCAACCCUCCCAGAAACCCAACCGAUGAAGUCCUGCGCAACGUUCUAAUCGAAGUUGAAAACACCAUCAACUCUAGACCGCUAACCCAUGUCCCGGUCGAUGAUGACAGUGCCCCAGCCUUGACACCGAACCAUUUCCUUCUUGGUUCCUCAAACGGGAUCAAGCCCUAUACUACUUUCGACGACAGCAGCAGUGCUCUCCGCCAAAACAUCUUAGCCUCCCAGGUACUAGCCAACACGUUCUGGAAGCGUUGGCUAAGUGACUAUCUGCCAGAAAUCACCAAACGGUCCAAGUGGUUUUGUCAAACCACUCCAGUAGCCGUAGGAGACGUGGUAGUGAUCGCCGACCCUCGGCUACCUCGCAACUGCUGGCCUAAGGGAAAGGUCAUCGAAACUCAUCCGGGCAAAGAUGGAGAAGUUCGCUCAGCUACAGUACGAACGUCUACAGGAGUCUACGUUCGAGCGGUCACCAAACUGGCAGUUCUGGACGUAAGGCGCGAAGGAAGUAAGCCAGCCUGAGGACUGUCGUACCCGGGGGGAGUGUGAACUGUUCUAACAGUGCGCGCCCAUUGUGUCUGUGCCUCUGUAGCAGCCCUGUCUUCGCAGCUUUGACGGCCUGACUUGGGAGUGACAGAACGACCGACUGUCACCAUCGUAAGUAGAUGAUUAGACAAAAGACAUCACGUUGAUUGAUAACACGGAGUGAAAUACUGCUAUCUGAAGUUAUUUUCUAUAAUUAAGUUCUAAAGUUAUUUUCUAUACUUAAAUCCCUAUUUGAUCUUAAACUACUUACAAGUGAAAUCAGGUAUAUGAAAUGUUUCGUGUAUACAAGCCUUAAUCUAAUAGAUUUUCUUGAAUUAGUGCGUAUUACUACAGUGCAAGUACUUUGCAAGCCGCAGAGCGUAUAACCUAUGUUUUCCUAAAGCUAAACCGAAACGCUACUAGGAACACAAAUACCACUCAAGACCCUCCGGAUUACACUAGGGGAAACUAAACGUAAGUUGAAGCUCUAACUAAAUGAAAUACGCUAUGCGACUUAUAUUACGAAACAUACACUUACAUCUGUUAUUAUACUACAAAGUUAUAUGCUUAAUUACCAAUCAACCUUAAAUUGUAAACCUUAAAUUCUACCCUUCUUCCUCUCAUCCUCAUUAUGAUGCAGGAUUUUAUUAAUCUCCUAAAUAAAGAGCCGUAGAUUAUACAUUGCUCUGGAGGUUAAUUUUACGGAAAGAAAAACCCCUUCAGUCUGGGUGACUUGUUGAAACGAACUU